AUGUGCUAAUACCGCAUAAUCUCUGAGGAGAAAAGCAGGGGAUCGAAAGACCUUGCACUUUUGGAGCGGCCGAUGUCUGAUUAGCUAGUUGGUGGGGUAAAGGCCUACCAAGGCAUCGAUCAGUAGCUGGUCUGAGAGGACGACCAGCCACACUGGGACUGAGACACGGCCCAGACUCCUACGGGAGGCAGCAGUGGGGAAUUUUGGACAAUGGGCGCAAGCCUGAUCCAGCCAUGCCGCGUGAGUGAAGAAGGCCUUCGGGUUGUAAAGCUCUUUCAGUCGGGAAGAAAAGGUUGCGACUAAUAAUCGCGAUCAAUGACGGUACCGAAAGAAGAAG
rnacentral:rRNA from 1 species